rnacentral:rRNA from 1 species
UACGGGGGGGGCAAGCGUUGUUCGGAAUCACUGGGCGUAAAGGGUUCGUAGGUGGCCAACUAAGUCAGACGUGAAAUCCCUCAGCUUAACUGGGGAACUGCGUCUGAUACUGGUCGGCUUGAGUGCAGGAGAGGAACGCGGAAUUCCAGGUGUAGCGGUGAAAUGCGUAGAUAUCUGGAGGAACACCGGUGGCGAAGGCGGCAUCCUGGACCGGCAUUGACGCUGAGGCGCGAAAGCUAGGGGAGCAAACGGG